rnacentral:tRNA from 1 species
GAGGGGUGGCCGAGUGGUUUAAGGCGGCGGUCUUGAAAAUCGCUGUGGGCACUGCCCCACCGUGGGUUCGAAUCCCACCCCCUCC